AUUGAACGCUGGCGGCAUGCCUUACACAUGCAAGUCGAACGGUAACAGGUCUUCGGAUGCUGACGAGUGGCGAACGGGUGAGUAAUACAUCGGAACGUGCCCAGACGUGGGGGAUAACGAGGCGAAAGCUUUGCUAAUACCGCAUACGAUCUAAGGAUGAAAGCAGGGGACCGCAAGGCCUUGCGCGUUUGGAGCGGCCGAUGGCAGAUUAGGUAGUUGGUGGGAUAAAAGCUUACCAAGCCGACGAUCUGUAGCUGGUCUGAGAGGACGACCAGCCACACUGGGACUGAGACACGGCCCAGACUCCUACGGGAGGCAGCAGUGGGGAAUUUUGGACAAUGGGCGAAAGCCUGAUCCAGCAAUGCCGCGUGCAGGAUGAAGGCCUUCGGGUUGUAAACUGCUUUUGUACGGAACGAAAAAGCUCUGGCUAAUACCUGGGGCACAUGACGGUACCGUAAGAAUAAGCACCGGCUAACUACGUG
rnacentral:rRNA from 1 species